rnacentral:lncRNA from 1 species
UGUUGUGAUGCAUUUCAUGACCGAGUGUAUUCAAUGAACUGUUUUUCAGUGUUUCUACUCACUGGGCUUUCUAGCUCAUCCCUUUCCCUUAAUCCCAGUUUUGUAGGUACAGGGUUAGCUGGGAAGUCAGAAGCAUCAGAGUGUUGGCACCAGUAUGCUUGUGUAAUAGAUUAGUGUGGACAUGAUGUAAAUUAAAGAGAUAUUUAUUACAGAUGUAUA